rnacentral:rRNA from 1 species
GCCAGAGUCUCAUCUCCCUGCAGCUCUUGCCUGGUUUUCCACUGAAGCUAAGCAGGGUUGAGCCUGGCCUGUACCUGGAUGGGAGACCUCCUGGGGAAAACUAAGGUUGCUGCUGGAA